rnacentral:tmRNA from 1 species
AGGUGCAUGCCGAGCUGCAGACAACUCGUAAAACUGAUUGCAAACUUUUAGUUGCCAACGACGACAACUACGCACUAGCAGCUUAAACACCUGUUUAGUGCCUUCCGCCCGGUUUCGUGCCCAUACGACCGGAUCACGGGAGUCACCCUAUAUGGGAUCGCGAUGAAGCACGCCUGGUGUGGAUUCGUUAAAACUUAUCCAGGCUCGUUGCUGGCUUUCCCUGCCUGUCGGGUAGCCCUCAACUAAACUAAUAGACCGGAUAAGCAUGUAGAGCCGAAGGCGGAGUGCUUGCGGACGCGGGUUCGAUUCCCGCCGCCUCCACCA